AAAUUUGCCAUUUACUGUAACUGAAAUACUACAUCCAAAAUAAUCAAUAUCGAAUCGAAAGCAUGUGAAUAGUAAUCAAAUCGAAUCAUGAAAAUUGUGUCAAUACCCAGCCCUAACAACUACUGCUCCACUGCUGAGCCUGCUGCCUUGGAUUUGUCCCUGGAGCACACUGAAGAUUUACGAGCGGAAAUAACAAAGCUCCAAAAACAAAUAGAGGAGAUAACCCUCAACAGCAAGUUCUGUUUGGAGCGGUUUGCGGCCUCCAAUGAUGUUUUUUCCCCUACUAUAAAAGUCAAUGGGUUCUGUCAGCUGGUGGGUUACCAGCUUUUUCAAAAUAUCAUCUUUUGCCUUCAGCAGAACAAAGAAACUCAAAGGUUUUGAAAAACAUGAGGUCACUUCAACCCAUUGAUGAAUUUUCCCUGUUUGACAUACCUGUCACUGGGUAUUAUGCAGUAGGGUCUGACACACAGAUUCAGAAUCCACCAAUCAACUGUAAGCCUCAUCAACACAUGGGCUAAUUUUCUCUCUCCUGUACUUUGGAGCUGUGGGCAUUUGGCUGGAUGAGGAGACUGUCAAAGCUCACAUGCCAGAUGUUUUUCAGGAUUACUCUGACACACGUGAUUUUGGACUGUACUGAACUGUGAUGCCAAACACCAAACUCUCUUCUCCUCCAGAGUGAGGUAUUCUCGACCUACAAGUCACACUGCACCUUCAAAGGGCUGAUUGGAAUUGCUCUUACUUUUGUGUCAUCCCUCUAUGAAGGCGCCAUCAGAGAACUUCUUAAGCAGUCAGGUAUCGUGUCUCUCCUAAAACCAACAAUGGCUAUAAUGGUCGAUAAAGGUUUCCUAAUGGAAGACUUCAAAACUGAGAGUCCAUGUUGAGAGACACUUCUGUGCAUCAGAUGCCAUUUCACUGUAAAUACUGUACAUAUUUUGAAAUGAAAUUGUUGACAACUAUAGAACUUUGAAACAAAUACUUGAAUUAUACAUGAUUUUACAAAUGUGUAGUUUAAUGUCUUCAUUUCCUCAGCACUGUGCCUCCUCUUUUACUUGUGCAUAGAGAGGUAUUUUGGCAGGUAUGUAUAGAAGAAAAACAAAUCACACCCCUGUUUCAAGGAACUUAACACAGAAGUGUCUCUGUAAAUUAGUGAUGUCCAAAUGAAGCAAUGAACCAGUAUUGAACCACUUCAUCAAUUGUUUGAAAAUAGGUUCAUUCAUUUAAAGCUUCGUUUCAGUGACAUCUAGUGGUGAAAUUGUAGAUAGCAAAAUAAUGUCUGUAUGAGUGUAAUGCUGCGUUCACACCAGACGCGACUUGCGCGAAUAAAAUCGCUAUUCGCAUGUG